AAAAUAACUAAUGAAAACCUCUCAAGUAAUUUGAUUUCCAAAACUUUGAAAAAAAAAUAUGCUAACCUUUUUAACCUGUGACCCAGUUCAAAUGUGAAUAUUUGAUCAUGUUCUCCCCAUAAUAUUAACGUGGGCUGAAAAAUUGUAGGAUUGUAAAUUAAAGCAAUUCUUUUUAGAAAAGUAUCAAAUGUUUAUGGAUAAAUAAAGAACCGUUUCGAAUUCAGACGAACCUGAGAGAUUUUGGAAUAUUUGAAAAUUUCCGAUCUGUGGUUCGGAAUCAGCUCUUUCUUGUCUUC